rnacentral:misc_RNA from 1 species
AAGUCGUAACAAGGUUUCCGUAGGUGAACCUGCGGAAGGAUCAUUACAGUAUUCUUUUGCCAGCGCUUAAUUGCGCGGCGAAAAACCUUACACACAGUGCUUUUUGUUAUUACAAGAACUAUUGCUUUGGCUUGGCCUAGAGAUAGGUUGGGCCAGAGGUUUAACUGAACUUCGAAAUUUAUUUUGAAUUGUUUCUAAUAUUUAAUUUGUCAAUUUGUUGAUUAAUUUCAAAAAAUCUUCAAAACUUUCAACAACGGAUCUCUUGGUUCUC